rnacentral:rRNA from 1 species
UACGUAGGGUGCAAGCGUUGUCCGGAAUUAUUGGGCGUAAAGAGCUUGUAGGCGGUUUGUCGCGUCUGCCGUGAAAGCCCAGGGCUUAACCCUGGGUCUGCGGUGGGUACGGGCAGACUAGAGUGUGGUAGGGGAGACUGGAAUUCCUGGUGUAGCGGUGAAAUGCGCAGAUAUCAGGAGGAACACCGGUGGCGAAGGCGGCGAUCUGGGUCGAUACUGACGCUGAGGUGCGAAAGCGUGGGGAGCAAACAGG